rnacentral:rRNA from 1 species
UACCAGCGGUCCAAGUCGCAGCCAUCAUUAUUGGGUCUAAAACAUCCGUAGCUUGUUUUAUAAGUCCUUUGUGAAAUCCGGCAUCUUAAGUGUCGGGCGCGCAGAGGAUACUGUAAAGCUAGAGACCGGAAGACGUAAGAAGUACGUUCGAAGUAGCGGUAAAAUGUUUUAAUCUCGGACGGACUAACAAGAGCGAAGGCAUCUUACGAGGACGGUUCUGACAGUAAAGGAUGAAGGCUAGGGGC